CAGCCGCGGUAAUACGGAGGGUGCAAGCGUUAAUCGGAAUUACUGGGCGUAAAGCGUGCGUAGGCGGUUCGUUAAGUCUGUUGUGAAAGCCCCGGGCUCAACCUGGGAAUGGCAAUGGAUACUGGCGAGCUAGAGUGUGUCAGAGGAUGGUGGAAUUCCCGGUGUAGCGGUGAAAUGCGCAGAGAUCGGGAGGAACAUCAGUGGCGAAGGCGGCCAUCUGGGACAACACUGACGCUGAGGCACGAAAGCGUGGGGAGCAAACAGGAUUAGAUACCCCGGUAGUCCCUGUCUCUUAUACACA
rnacentral:rRNA from 1 species